GCUGGGUUGAUAAAUUUAAUUCAUUUAGACUUAACUGAGAUGUCAUUUUAGGAUUAAUUUAUAUAUGUCUAAGCAUCCAUUGUGAUGACAAAGGAGAUAUUAGCAUUUCUAUGCUAUAUUAUCUUAAGAAGUUUAUUGAGGGGGGCUUUUUUUUUUUUUUUUAUUGAAGGUUUUAACAAAGGAGAGUGAUAAUUUUCUAUACAUAAGAAAGACUCAACAUCCUGUGUUUGACAUGAUUAUAAAUUAUGGAUAAAUUGAUACAUUUUUCACUUAAUUUCUCUCUUUAAAUUUAUUUUAUGAUGAAAAUAGAGAAUAAGUCAGAUUUUUGAAAUGAUGUUACUUCAAAGGGUGUUGUUUAUAUUAUACAUAUCAAGAAGUUUUGUAUAUGUUUACACAAGUCUGUUUUGUUAUGUUAAGAAGAAGUUUAACUCAAAUUAGAAGUAAUAUAUGUUUAUCUGUCUGAUGUUCUCCAUUAACAGUUAAUCAGUUUUGAAACUUGAUUGCAAUUAAGACAAUUUCCUAUACUCUACAUCUAAAGAUUGUUAUACAUGUUUAUCUAUCAACAGUUAUUUAGCUUGAGGCUUGAUUGUAAUUAAAAAUAUUUAGUAAUUACACAGUAUAAUAACUUCUAAAGGAAGAAAAUCAAAAUAUUUAUGAAGCUUUAC
rnacentral:lncRNA from 1 species